GUGGUAGUAGCAAAUAUUCA
rnacentral:ncRNA from 3 species